AGUGAGGAUCGUAACGUACGAUAGUCAUUACCGUAACCACCACGGACUUCCGCUGAGCGCCCGUCUCCGCGCAAGUACUGACCCUGGAACCCCAGUUGCCUGGGUCCACCUGUCGAACCAAACACAAGCCUCUUUUAGGUCUCUUCCACUCAUCUCAGCAGGACUUGGCUACCCAGAAACGUCACCUAACACCCGCAGCUUCCCCCCAUCAUCUGUGACUACCUACUGUGUCCGUGAGACUGUCCAGUCUAUAGACUGCCGCUCAGAGAAGCCAACAGCACUGCUCCCAUCAAGACUGAAGCUGGGGAGGAGGGAGAGCAUCUAACUGAAGGUUUCACAUCCUCUGAGCCUGGAGAUAGCAGAGCUAAUAUCCUGGGGCUAAACGAUAAAAUUCGCCAAAAAUAUGGGUGGAAUGAUAAGCGGUACAGAAAUGAAGAGAGAUUGAAAAGAGUCCUAAGAGGUAAAGAAGAUUUAAAGCACGGAAGUUUAGCUUAAAGAGAUCUACAUAACCCAGGCAGUGCCUUGGGAGAGAAUUGCCAUAGAAUACCUGAUUGCUUCCAUUUCAAUGGUACCAACUGGGACCCAAGGCCCAUUCUGCCCUUCACUGUCAUUAUGGGGAAAAGCCCCAGACUCCAACUCUGCAAGAUGGUGGGAAAGCCUUCAACAGGAAUUACUCUGGAGAAGCUAGGAACCUUAGCAAGUGCACAUCGUUCAAGAUCAGUGUCCGGAAGGCUCUGUGCAGAACAGAAUAGCUAAAUACAUCCCCUGGCAUGCAGCUUUACCUCAUUAAAAAAGAUGAAAGGC